rnacentral:rRNA from 1 species
GAUGAACGCUGGCGGCGUGCCUAAUACAUGCAAGUCGAGCGAACAGACGAGGAGCUUGCUCCUCUGACGUUAGCGGCGGACGGGUGAGUAACACGUGGAUAACCUACCUAUAAGACUGGGAUAACUUCGGGAAACCGGAGCUAAUACCGGAUAAUAUAUUGAACCGCAUGGUUCAAUAGUGAAAGACGGUUUUGCUGUCACUUAUAGAUGGAUCCGCGCCGCAUUAGCUAGUUGGUAAGGUAACGGCUUACCAAGGCGACGAUGCGUAGCCGACCUGAGAGGGUGAUCGGCGACACUGGAACUGAGACACGGUCCAGACUCCUACGGGAGGCAGCAGUAGGGAAUCUUCCGCAAUGGGCGAAAGCCUGACGGAGCAACGCCGCGUGAGUGAUGAAGGUCUUCGGAUCGUAAAACUCUGUUAUUAGGGAAGAAUAAAUGUGUAAGUAACUAUGCACGUCUUGACGGUACCUAAUCAGAAAGCCACGGCUAACUACGUG